rnacentral:lncRNA from 1 species
AUCUUCUUAUAUAUGUUUUUAUUUUUCCUGAGUGGCUAUCUGGAAGUGGCAUUGCUAACUUGCUUAUAAGUGGAAGGAACUUAUCUACAGAUGAGAAUUUGGACGUGGGUCUUGAAAUCUGGGACUUCUGAGUUAAUUCUGGAACCAGUCAAGACCUUUGGGAACUAUUGCAAAGGCAUCAUUGUAUAUCGAAAUGUGAGAAAGCUUUCUGAGGACCUCAACAGAAACAGAUGUUGAAGCCAUGCUGUUACAGCCGGCAGCACCUUACAGGUCUGGACAUUUGCUAUACAGAAAUUCUGAUUCUGCCAUAGAAUGAAACUGAAAAGAGUUUGGGGUAAAAUUAGCAUGUUUAGG